rnacentral:rRNA from 1 species
GACGAACGCUGGCGGCGUGCUUAACACAUGCAAGUCGAACGGAAAGGCCCUGCUUUUGUGGGGUGCUCGAGUGGCGAACGGGUGAGUAACACGUGAGUAACCUGCCCUUGACUUUGGGAUAACUUCAGGAAACUGGGGCUAAUACCGGAUAGGAUCUCCUGCUGCAUGGUGGGGGUUGGAAAGUUUCGGCGGUUGGGGAUGGACUCGCGGCUUAUCAGCUUGUUGGUGGGGUAGUGGCUUACCAAGGCUUUGACGGGUAGCCGGCCUGAGAGGGUGACCGGCCACAUUGGGACUGAGGUACGGCCCAGACUCGUACGGGCGGCAGCAGUGGGGAGUAUUGCACAAUGGGCGGAAGCGUGAUGCAGCAGCGUCGCGUGCGGGAUGACGGGCUUCGGGUUGUAAACCGCUUUAGCAUGUGACGAAGCGUGAGUGACGGUAAUGUGUAAAGAAGCACCGGCUAACUACGUG